rnacentral:tRNA from 1 species
GCCUGGGUGGCUUAUUCAGUUAAGCAUCCUACUUCAGCUCAGGUCAUGAUCUUGCAGCUCGUGGGUUUGAACCCCACUUCGGGCU